rnacentral:rRNA from 1 species
UUUAAGGUCUGGCCUGCCCACUGAUAAUUUAAAUGGCCGCGGUAUUUUGACCGUGCAAAGGUAGCAUAAUCAUUAGUUUUUUAAUUGAAAGCUGGAAUGAAAGGUUGGAUGAGAAAUUGACUGUCUCUAUUUAAUUUUUAUAGAAUUUUAUUUUUAAGUAAAAAAGCUUAAAUUUAAUUUGUAGACGAGAAGACCCUAUAGAGUUUUAUUUAUUAUUUUGUUUGAAAUUUUUGGUAUUGAUUAUAUUAUUCAAAGUGAUAAAUUUAGUUGGGGUGAUUGAAAAAUUUAAUAAACUUUUUUUCUAUUUUUACAUUUAUUUAUGGAUUUUUGAUCCUUUUAUGAAGAUUAAAAGAUAAAAUUACCUUAGGGAUAACAGCGUAAUUUUUUUAGAGAGUUCUUAUCGAAAAAAAAGAUUGCGACCUCGAUGUUGGAUUAAAAUAAAAUUUUGGUGUAGAAGCUAAAGUAUUUAGGUCUGUUCGACCUUUAAAAUUUUACAUGACUGAGUKUACACCGGCGUGAG